GCCACGCCCGCUCAAGAAACCUACAAAUAGAAGUUGACGGGGGCCCGCACAAGCGGUGGAGUAUGUGGUUUAAUUCGAUGCAACGCGAAGAACCUUACCUGGUCUUGACAUCCCGGAGACCCUUAGGAAACUAGGGGGUGCUUCCAUCUGGAAGAAUCUGGAGACAGGUGCUGCAUGGCUGUCGUCAGCUCGUGUCGUGAGAUGUUGGGUUAAGUCCCGCAACGAGCGCAACCCUUGCCUUUAGUUGCCAGCAGUUCGGCUGGGCACUCUAAAGGGACUGCCGGUGUUAAACCGGAGGAAGGUGGGGAUGACGUCAAGUCCUCAUGGCCUUUAUGACCAGGGCUACACACGUACUACAAUGGCCGAUACAAAGGGCAGCGACACUGCGAGGUGAAGCCAAUCCCGUAAAAUCGGUCUCAGUCCGGACUGGAGUCUGCAACUCGACUCCAUGAAGUUGGAAUCGCUAGUAAUCGUGGAUCAGCAUGCCACGGUGAAUACGUUCCCGGGCCUU
rnacentral:rRNA from 1 species